rnacentral:rRNA from 1 species
AGCAGCCGCGGUAAUUCCAGCUCCAAUAGCGUAUAUUAAAGUUGUUGCAGUUAAAAAGCUCGUAGUUGAAUUUCGGGAUUGACGUGAUGGUCAUGCCUUAAGGGGUAUGAACUGUUGCAGUUGAUUUCUCACCUUCUGGAAAAACUUGAUGUCCUUUAUUGGGUGUCUUGCGGAUCCAGGACCUUUACCUUGAAAAAAUUAGAGUGUUUAAAGCAGGCAUUUUUGCUCGAAUACAUUAGCAUGGAAUAAUAGAAUAGGACGGCAUGGUUCUAUUUUGUUGGUUUCUAGGAUCACCGUAAUGAUUAAUAGGGAUAGUUGGGGGGCAUUAGUAUUCAAUUGUCAGAGGUGAGAUUCUUGGAUUUAUUGAAGACUAACUACUGCGAAAGCAUUUGCCAAGGAUGUUUUCAUUAAUCAAGAACGAAAGUUAGGGGAUCGAAGACGAUCAGAUACCGUCGUAGUCUUAACCAUAAACUAUGCCGACUAGGAAUCAGACGAUGUUAAUUUUUUAAUGAC